rnacentral:rRNA from 1 species
AAGUCUGGUGCCAGCAGCCGCGGUAAUUCCAGCUCCAAUAGCGUAUAUUAAAGUUGUUGCAGUUAAAAAGCUCGUAGUUGAAUUUCGGGGUUAGUAGGUUGGUCAUGCCUCUGGUAUGUACUGGUCUCACUGAUUCCUCCUUCCUUAUGAACCGUAAUGCCAUUAAUUUGGUGUUGCGGGGAAUUUGGACUGUUACUUUGAAAAAAUUAGAGUGUUUAAAGCAAGCUAACGCUUGAAUACAUUAGCAUGGAAUAAUGAAAUAGGACGUUCGAUCUUAUUUUGUUGGUUUCUAGGAUUGACGUAAUGAUUAAUAGGGAUAGUUGGGGGCAUUAGUAUUCAAUUGUCAGAGGUGAAAUUCUUGGAUUUAUUGAAGACUAACUACUGCGAAAGCAUUUGCCAAGGAUGUUUUCAUUAAUCAAGAACGAAAGUUAGGGGAUCGAAGACGAUCAGAUACCGUCGUAGUCUUAACCAUAAACUAUGCCGACUAGGGAUCGGAUGAUGUUAAUUUUUUAAUGACUCAUUCGGCGCCUUGCGGGAAACCAAAGUGUUUGGGU